rnacentral:rRNA from 1 species
AUUGAACGCUGGCGGCAGGCUUAACACAUGCAAGUCGAGCGAGCGGCGGACGGGUGAGUAAUGUCUGGGAAACUGCCUGAUGGAGGGGGAUAACUACUGGAACCGGUAGCUAAUACCGCAUACCAUCAGAUGUGCCCAGAUGGGAUUAGCUAGUAGGUGGGGUGAUGGCUCACCUAGGCGACGAUCCCUAGCUGGUCUGAGUGGAUGACAGGCCACACUGGAACUGAGACACGGUCCAGCCGCCUACGGGAGGCAGCAGGGGGGAAUAGUGCACAAUGGGCGAAAGCCUGAUGCAGCCAUGCCGCGUGUGUGAAGAAGGCCUUCGGGUUGUAAAGCACUUUCAGCGAGGAGGCGUUACUCGCAGAAGAAGCACCGGCUAACUACGUGCCAGCAGCCGCGGUAAUUC